UGGGGAAUAUUGCACAAUGGGCGCAAGCCUGAUGCAGCCAUGCCGCGUGUAUGAAGAAGGCCUUCGGGUUGUAAAGUACUUUCAGCGGGGAGGAAGGUGUUGAGGUUAAUAACCUCAGCAAUUGACGUUACCCGCAGAAGAAGCACCGGCUAACUCCGUGCCAGCACCGCGGUAAUACGGAGGGUGCAAGCGUUAAUCGGAAUUACUGGGCGUAAAGCGCACGCAGGCGGUCUGUCAAGUCGGAUGUGAAAUCCCCCGGGCUCAACCUGGGAACUGCAUUCGAAACUGGCAGGCUGGAGUCUUGUAGAGGGGU
rnacentral:rRNA from 1 species